AUCCCCCUCCGAAUAUGUAGUCAAUCGAACAAGCAAAUGAAACGGUGGGAGCAAUUAAUUAUGGUUAGAAUGAUUUUGUCACCCUCAUCGAUGCAGUAGUGAAUGCUAAUUUUAAUUCUCCAUUGAAUGCAACAAUUGAAGCAUUUGUGCGUUUCCAUCCCACCCACUGAAUUUUAGGUAUAUUUAUGUACUUCCCACACAUAUAAGAUGCGAUACAGAGAUGUAUAUCAAAAGUUCGAUGGUUCAAUGGGGUUACGACGACAGCCGAAUUCAAUAAAUGCAUAAUUAAACCAAAACGGUUUCAGGAUUUAAUCAUAACCAUAUGAUGGGAUGGAUCAAGAACAUUUAUAUCUUUAGUCUCUGUUGGGUGCGCAAGUUUGGAGUCUGACAGAGGCUGAAUUCCAAUCGCAGGUGAGAUGGGAGUGAAGAAUGAUCUGAGUUGGUGGGCUUCACCUUCAGUCGUUGACCAUGUUAGUGAGGCUGGGGGAGGUUAUUAAGGAAUGCGAGGAGGUUGUGGGUUGAAGAACCCUGGUUUUUAAAGAGCUUAUCAAAGAUUAGCUUCUCUAUAUCUCAGGUUACCCAACAUUCAUAUUUUAAAGUAAUUUCAUGUGUUGAACAGAAAAAUCGUGUACAAUGAGAUUGAGAUAUCUAUGGUAUGCUCCUCAAAUCAGAACCGAAGCAUGGAAGCUCACUUUCUGCUAAAGAGGGAAGGUUUUGAUGUUUGUUCAUAUGGAACAGGGACCCAU